rnacentral:rRNA from 1 species
UACGAAGGGGGCUAGCGUUGUUCGGAAUUACUGGGCGUAAAGGGUGCGUAGGUGGCGCCGCAAGUCAGAAGUGAAAGCCCUGGGCUCAACCCGGGAAUUGCUUUUGAGACUGUGGUGCUCGAGUUCGGAAGAGGUGAGUGGAAUUCCCAGUGUAGAGGUAAAAUUCGUAGAUAUUGGGAGGAACACCGGUGGCGAAAGCGGCUCACUGGUCCGAUACUGACACUGAGACACGAAAGCGUGGGGAGCAAACAGG